rnacentral:rRNA from 1 species
AUUGAACGCUGGCGGCAGGCCUAACACAUGCAAGUCGAACGAGUGGCGGACGGGUGAGUAAUGUCUGGGAAACUGCCUGAUGGAGGGGGAUAACUACUGGAAACGGUAGCUAAUACCGCAUACCAUCAGAUGUGCCCAGAGGGGAUUAGCUGGUUGGUGGGGUAACGGCCCACCAAGGCGACGAUCCAUAGCUGGUCUGAGAGGAUGACCAGCCACACUGGUACUGAGACACGGUCCAGACACCUACGGGAGGCAGCAGUGGGGAAUAUUGCACAAUGGGGGCAAGCCUGAGGCAGCCAUGCCGCGGGUAUGAAGAAGGCCUUCGGGUUGUAAAGUACUUUCAGCGAGGAGGCGUUACUCGCAGAAGAAGCACCGGCUAACUCCGUGCCAGCAGCCGCGGUAAUUC